UAGGGAAUCUUCGGCAAUGGACGAAAGUCUGACCGAGCAACGCCGCGUGAGUGAAGAAGGUUUUCGGAUCGUAAAACUCUGUUGUUAGAGAAGAACAAGGACGUUAGUAACUGAACGUCCCCUGACGGUAUCUAACCAGAAAGCCACGGCUAACUACGUGCCAGCAGCCGCGGUAAUACGUAGGUUGCAAGCGUUGUCCGGAUUUAUUGGGCGUAAAGCGAGCGCAGGCGGUUUCUUAAGUCUGAUGUGAAAGCCCCCGGCUCAACCGGGGGGGUUCAUAGGAAACUGGGAGACUUGAGGGCAGAAGAGGAGAGUAGAAUUCCAUGUGUAGCGGUGAAAUGCGUAGAUAUAUGGAGGAACACCAGUGGCGAAGGCGGCUCUCUGGUAUGUAACUGACGCUGAGGCUCGAAAGCGUGGGGAGCAAACAGG
rnacentral:rRNA from 1 species